GGGGAAUUUUCCGCAAUGGGCGAAAGCCUGACGGAGCAAUACCGCGUGAGGGAGGAAGGCUUUUGGGUUGUAAACCUCUUUUAUCAAGGAAGAAGAAAGUGACGGUACUUGAAGAAUAAGCAUCGGCUAACUCCGUGCCAGCAGCCGCGGUAAUACGGAGGAUGCAAGCGUUAUCCGGAAUCAUUGGGCGUAAAGCGUCCGCAGGUGGCUCGUCAAGUCUGCUGUUAAAGACAGAAGCUUAACUUCUGAAAAGCGGUGGAAACUGGGGAGCUAGAGUACGGUAGGGGUUGAGGGAAUUCCCAGUGUAGCGGUGAAAUGCGUAGAGAUUGGGAAGAACACCAGUGGCGAAGGCGCUCAACUGGGCCGUAACUGACACUCAGGGACGAAAGCUAGGGGAGCGAAAGGGAUUAGAUACCCCUGUAGUC
rnacentral:rRNA from 1 species